rnacentral:rRNA from 1 species
AACAAUUAAACGGCCGCGGUACUCUAACCGUGCAAAGGUAGCAUAAUCAUUUGUCCACUAAUUAUGGACUAGUAUGAAAGGCAAAAUGAGGGAUUAACUGUCUCUUAUAGUAAGUCAAUUAAACUGAUCUACCAGUAAAAAAGCUGGAAUAAACACACAAGACCAGAAGACCCUGUGAAGCUUAAACUAAACUAUUAAACCAUAUAAUACCUACUUUCGGUUGGGGCGACCUUGGAAAAAAAAGAACUUCCAAACUAGUGACAUUAAUCACCUCCAGGCCAACAAGCCACACAUGACCCAGCACACCUGACAAUUGAACCAAGUUACUCCAGGGAUAACAGCGCCAUCUUCUUCAAGAGUCCAUAUCAAAAAGAAGGUUUACGACCUCGAUGUUGGAUCAGGACAUCCUAA